AACCAUAAGAGUACACUGAAAAGCCUUCCUCCUUUCCAUCGCAGCCAACAUGAGGGUGAGCACUUUUCCUUUUUAUCAAGUAGGAAUGUGCCUCUAUGAUUACAGAAUUUAGCCUAAUAUUACCUUACCUGCCACCCCAAAUAAUUUGCAGCAGUCCCAGUGAUGUGGGCAGGAGAUGGUUCCAGUCUUGAAACAUCUUGCCCCAAUCAGUGGGCCAUGGCUCCUGGUGGGACUCCAGGACAUCUCCAAGUGCCAACCAGGGCAACUUCGGACACAUCGUUCUUCUUCCAGCACCUCAGCUUUCCUGUUUGUGGGGUGACUGAGGAAGAAAUGCUGUGGUACUGCCAAGAAACAUUUCCUUAUAGAUACAGUUCUGUAUAUCUGCCCUCAACGCCAGCAACUGAGGAAGGGUUCUGCUGGCAUGACCUCUAGGGGCUCAGCUCCAUCCCAAUGCUCUCUGAAGGCAGAAGGCGCCAAGUGCAAUUUCACACAAUCCAGUAACCAACAUAUCUGUUAAUAACAUUCCUUUAUCUAUAGCUUGGACUUCUUUCAAACCUGCUUAAUUAUCUCCUCCAAUAUGGAAAAGCAUUGUCCAAAACCAUAGAGGAUAAUAAUCAUGCAGUAGUUCUUCUGUAAAUAAUGUUUCAUUCUAGCAAAGCAAACUGCUCCUCAUCAGACUGGAUCUCAGAGCAAGUUGAAGCCAAUUUGCUGGAGCAGCAGUGAGGAUGUCAUUGCACAAUCUUCAUUUCCAUUAAACAACUGGAUCUAACUGUCCUUAUUUUUAGGCUAACCAUGCUGAGAUUUAAAAUUGCAUUGAUUAUAAUAUAGCUUUUAAAUGAUUUAUCGAGGCCAAUGGAUUUUGCACAUGAAAGUUGCUACUAGCUGAUUAGGAAAAAAAAAAAAAUCAGCAUUGCUUUUUCUGCUGCUUAGGAAAUUGCAAUCCUCUAUCUGCAGCCUGAAAAGCAUGUUGCCAUGGAAAUGAUGCUUAUGCUUUCGUAAAUAAAAGUAUUCUAGGGUCACAAAGGUCUGCAGCAUAAACAGGGGCACAAACACUGCCUGGACAAGUGCCAGAGUGGUUUAAACAUAUAGGAAGAUAAUUUUAAUGGUAUUUUACUUUCACUGUUACCAUCAGAAGGACUGAUGAAGGUUAACGUGUAGCUAUAACCUAGUCACGUAAACAAAGCAGAGAACAUCUUACCUAUUGGUAUUAAUUAGAGUACUGAAAGCGAUAUCAUAGCCCUCCUGACUGGUCUUCCUCUGCUCUACCGGAUCAGUGUUUCUUUCCCUUUCCCUGCAACACUGAACUGAGAUGCAUGCAUACACUUAACCACGGGCAGCUUUACUGAAAUCAUCAGCACAGCCCAGGACAUUGGGAAAACUGGGUGAUGUUAUAAAAAGCUGUAUCAUGGACUAUCUAAUCGUGUUGUAUUUAAAGGCAGAACUUUGUCAAAGGAAAUCACCUUGAGAGGAUGCAAUGGGCUUUUCUUCACAAGACAAGCUGGGAACUACAGGCAAAGAAGGGCGGCGCUGGUUGGGAUGGCAGGCACCAGCUAACCUUCCAUUGGGAAACUGAGGCAUGAGGGCUUCUAUCCUCACUAUAGCACUUCUAUACUCACCCACAGACUAACUGAGACAUGCUCUCCAUUUACUGCACGUCUGUUAUUCCAUCCCCAGGCCUUGAGAUGUACAGCCAGAGCUCAGGGCAAUGCAAGGCCACCUGUUCAGCUCCAUGCUUCCAGGCAAAGUGCUUUGUGUUCAGCACUGUGUGUGAACACCUGCAGUUUGCUGUCUUAAUCAGUGGCAGAAAUAAUGGAAAAAUAACAAAAGUGGGAGUGAACACAGAGACCAACAGCGGAGAUUGGGAUGCAUGGGUUUGUGUGAAUCUUCAGGAGGAAAGCAGGCAGUUACUGUUUCUGGUGGGUUCUUAAUUGUUCAAUGGACUGCUCAGUGGCAUUAAAUGGGCCAUACUGUGAAGCUGCCUUGGGCAGUAUCAGAUCAAGGAUACAUGCUUUACUCCUUGUGCUUUAAAUACCCGUACAGGCAUUUAGAGCAGACAGUCACUUUAAAUAAAACUACGGAGAUUGCAAAUGCCACAGCUUGCUUAUUUACUGCGUCUCAGCCUGCCCAAAAUGUGGAAAUAAUGUUUCCAAAGAUGCUGGAAUUCAUGUGUCUGUUGAGGAUCCUGGCUCCUGUCCUGAAUGAUACUGCAUAUUCAGGGGAUGAUUCAUUCACUCGGAGCAGGAGGAAGGGCUGUACCAGCUGUACCACCUCUCCGCUCUGAUUGACGGCAGUGAUGCUCCCACAGGGAAGCUGUGCCUCCAGGUUCAGCCAGCAAUUACGGAACAAACAAAGGAGAAGUGGAAUGGAGAAAUGAUUCACGGGAAUAGAAACCAAAAGAGAACCCGGAGAUGAUGCCAAGCUGAGCUGAAGGCAAAACUUUCAUUCGUUUCUGCUGAAAAUGUGCAGACAGCAUGGUGCAUCUCUUUGGUAACUAAGACAGACACAGCGAGGAAUGUUAAACGCACCUCCUCCUGGAGAAUUCUGCCAGCAAGUGCUACGGAUCCAUCUGCAUCUGUGUUUCUGUACUUCGCACACCUGAUCUUAACAGCCGCUCAGUUUCAAAGAUGGACAAUAAAACAGAUGCCUUUAUUACGGGUGGUCAAAGGUACUUUACAGAGGACAAAACAGUUCUGAUCUUGGAAAGAUGAGCACACGGCUCUCAGGCUGGGAACGACGUAUUCUUGACUUCACACCUGACAUAACAGCUCAUCAAACAUCACUUGAGAAACAAGCGUACAGACAACAAACUUAGAGACAAUAUCCAAGGAAAACACUACCUAACCUAUGACUCGUUCUUUGAUUUACAGCUGUGAUUGCAGGCCCCACCUUACAGUCAUAUGCCAUGAUAAUAGGUAGCAGUUCAAUGAGAACCAGCCAUAACUUUUAUGUGUUGUGGUGAUUCUGAGCUACUUCAGCACAUAAUUUGGCCUGAUGCAGCAAAUAAUUAGAAUGACUGAUAGGUGACAUUCCAGAGCUGAAAAAUGAAUGAUCAGUCUUCUGGUGUUGUUCACUUUCUUUUCUAAUUCUUUUCUUAAAAU